CAGCCGCCGCGGUAAUACGUAGGGUGCGAGCGUUAAUCGGAUUUACUGGGCGUAAAGCGUGCGCAGGCGGCCCGUUAAGACAGGUGUGAAAUCCCUGGGCUCAACCUAGGAAUUGCGCUUGUGACUGGCGGGCUCGAGUACGGUAGAGGGGGGUGGAAUUCCUGGUGUAGCAGUGAAAUGCGUAGAGAUCAGGAGGAACACCGAUGGCGAAGGCAGCCCCCUGGGCCUGUACUGACGCUCAUGCACGAAAGCGUGGGGAGCAAACAGGAUUAGAUACCCUGGUAGUCCACGCCCUAAACGAGGGGUACUAGCCGUUUGGUGCGCGAUAGCGCUGAGUGGCGAAGCUAACGCGUGAAGUACCCCGCCUGGGGAGUACGGCCGCAAGGUUGAAACUUAAAGGAAUUGGCGGG
rnacentral:rRNA from 1 species